rnacentral:rRNA from 1 species
GCCUACGGGGCGCAGCAGUAGGGAAUUUUCGUCAAUGGGCGCAAGCCUGAACGAGCAAUGCCGCGUGAACGAGGAAGGUCUUCGGAUCGUAAAGUUCUGUUGCAGGGGAAAAAGAGCGGAGAGAGGAAAUGGUCUCCGAUUGAUAUUACCCUUCGAGGAAGUCACGGCUAACUACGUGCCAGCAGCCGCGGUAAUACGUAGGUGGCGAGCGUUAUCCGGAAUGAUUGGGCGUAAAGGGUGCGUAGGCGGCCUGCUAAGUCUGGAGUGAAAGGUACCGGCUCAACCGGUACAGGCUCUGGCAACUG